AUUGCACUAAAAUUCGGAGGCUUAGUGUUGUGUAGCUUUGCCUUUGUUGCGAGUGCAUAAAUUAAUUAAAAGUUUGUCGCCUUUGUUUAGGACAUUUCCUGAACGAAGUGAAUCAAAUUUUAACAGCU